UGAGAUUUCAGAUUUUGGUGUUAGUAUGCAUCUGAAUAUUAAGCUCAUAAGUUAAUGUUUACCAAGAUUUGAUCCUACAGCGUCAAAACUUCAGCUGGGCAAAAGAGAACUUCUAAAAGAGGAGAUGUCAAAGGUUAUUUGAAACUGAGAAAAAGGCUGAAGUCAUAUUGGAUGAAAGAGUGAUAGACAAGAUGCAUCCUGGAGGCAAAUCUAAAAGAAAUGGUUGG